AUAGGUGAAAAAGAGUACAUCACCCUACCAGAUCACCCUUCACUUCCUUGUCAACCUGUUCUUUCUUCAGGAAUAACCGAUAUAUCUUUAUUACAAACUGAAACCUACAAUGGUUGGAAGAAAAAAUACUUGGAAACAAAGAAAGUCACAGCAUCAAUGGAGGAGGUUUUAACAAAACUUCGAGAAGAUUUGGAACUCUACUAUAAAAAACUGCUCAUGCAACUUGAAGCCAGGGAGAUCAAGAUGAGACCAAAGAAUCUGGCAAACAUCACAGACUCCAAGAUGAGAAAACAAGCAGUUUCAGAUUUACGAACAUUGAAAACUGAACUGGCACAGAAAAAAAAAUAAUACAUUUCUACAAUCUCAAUUAGUUGCUAGAAGUGUGCCUAGCUAGGAGGUCUACAGAAGAUUUUGUUUAUGAUGAAUCAGCCAAAUCAAAAGGGAGCAUUUGCUGCUGCAAUACAUUCUGACCAGAUCUGACUUUGUUCAUCAUAAGACAUCACAAAGAGGAAGUCACAAGCAUCUGCGAUUCCAGUAUAAUUAUAGCAUCUUCUGUCUAUGUUCUUUGGAGACCAAGCUACAUCAAAGGUUACCUGUGGAAAAAAAUCUUACUAUUUUAUGUAACAUGAUCAAGUGUGCAUAUUAUGUCAGAUUUUUAAAAUUAUAUAUAUAUUUUACCUUAUACUACACAAGGAAAAGGAACUGCUUACAGUAUAUGAAUGUAGGGUUUGACACACAUAGAACUUGAACCAUUCUAAGAAAUAUUUUUUGCUUA
rnacentral:sRNA from 1 species